AAUACACUGACUGACUGAAAAGUCUUUCAGUCGGUAGUUUGCUUACAGAGUUGACACUUUGACCUGAGGGAGGCAUGACAGGAAAGCUCGCGGUGUGUGUAGGGAAGUUCCAUCCUCUGUGGAGCCUGCUCAACUACAUUUCUUAAGUAGUACUGUUCCUGUCAAAGCUUGAUGUUCCUGUGUAUAUAUUAUGUGGGAAUAUGUUCCGGAUGGUAAUGCCAGAGAAAACGUCAAGGGCUCGUCAAAUCAAUGGGCCUCACAUCUGACAUUAGUUGGUCAGGUAUCAAUCUGACCCAGGACCAAAGUGAUGGACGGACGGACCAACUGUAUUCAAACAAUACACUUUUCUUCCACAGCUAGUUGAGCAAAGGAAGAGGCGACCAGUAAGCGCCGAUAAAACUCGGAUAAUAGAAGAUAAAGAAGAAGAAAUUCAAAUAAUUUAUUGUCCUGAACAACUUCCUAGAUGACUGACUAUAGGAAAAGCUUAAUUGUCACUUAAGUGGCACAGACAAGACUGUGCUACCUAGCAUACUUAGCCAAUGUCUGCUCACUUGCUAAGCUAAGCUAAUCAAAACCCCUGUUUUCACUGGAAAUUCCUACAGGAAGUGCACCAAAGCUAUAGGAGUCAGAAGUGUGAAAUAUAAACCCUGUGUUUUGGCUGUGGAAGAAGCUGCAAAGAUCAGUGACAUGACAUCUAAAAAGGAUCCUGAGAUCUGCAUCUUGAAGACUCAUGAGUUGUUGUUAGAGGCUCAGUUUCUGAUGAAAGACAUAGAAGAGCUGCUGGUCUGGUGUACAUCAACAGGCCCCUCCAACCAGAGACGGUGCAGAACGAUGCAGCAGGAAUGUCAGGCCAGCAUAGAGGAGGACGGAGAGACCUUGAUCAUAGAGGGCUUCAGGUUUGAGAGUGCGGCCAGCAGGGAGGACCUGAGGAGGCUGCAUUCACAGGCUGGUGGUUCACAGGACGCCAGGGUGACACAUGACUGAUGCCUACCUCAGUAGUUUCAUCACACAAGGUCAACAAGGUCAUACAACUGGCAGAGGUAACAAUGGCAGACAGAGAGCCAACAAAUGACAUGAUUUAAAAUGAUGGGAGAAAGGCUAACGACUGACAUGUGUAGCUCCUUACAACAGAAAGGCAAAGCAGCAUGACACCAUGUUGUAUAGAGGAUAUAGACCAUUUUUAGAUAAAAGUUCGAAUUGUUCCUCAAUGUUUAUGUAAGACGAGUUAUUUGUUCAUUGUUGCUUGUUUUAAGAUAUUUGAUCAUUGAGAACAUACUUUUGACAGUUUUGAAUUGCCAUAUUUGCCACAAUGUUUGAGUUUACCAUUUUGGAAUAUGGCCAUACAGUUGACUUUGAGUGUUGUAUUUAUGAUAGUACUACAAUAUAUAUACAUAUAUAUACAAUAUAUUCCAGGAGGGGAUUUUAUAAGUUAAAGUUAGAAUGCCACUGUUUUGGCUAAUGGUGAUGACUUUGCAUUAUUCAUUUUACUUUGGUUACUUAUUGUCCAACCCAGCAUAGUACAUUUUGCAGUUGCAGUAGUGUGAUCUAUAUGGAUCAGUAGCUCACUGACAUAUUAUACAGUUCUGUCUCUUUUAUUUCAUUUAGAGUCGUUGCCUUUAAAUAUAGCCUGGGUCAUGCAAACCUUUAAUGUCCUUCUGUAUACAACAACACAAAGUGAAGGUUAGAUGGGGGCAUGGCUUUCUCUUUGAUUACACAGAGCUGUUAGACUAUUUAGUGUCCUUCCUGCUUGUACCCUAUUGUAGAUCAUCUUG